GUAGUAUGAGCCUGCGAGUUACGAUAGCAUGCGAGGUUUAAGGCGUGGGAGCGCCGGAGCCGGAGGGAAACCGAGUCUGAAGAGGGCGAGAGAGUAUGGUAUCGUAGACCCGAAGCCAAGUGAUCUAGAUAUGAGCAGGCUGAAGCCCGGGUAAAACCGGGUGGAGGGCCGAACCCUAGUGUGUUAAAAAAUGCAGGGAUGACUUGUGUCUUGGAGCGAAAGACUAAACAAACUUGGAAAUAGCUGGCUCUCCCCGAAAUGCCUUGAGGGACAGCCUUAUCAAAAUGUGCCGGAGGUAGAGCACUGGAUGGACUAGGGGGCUUCACCGCCUACCAAACCCAAUCAAACUCCGAAUGCCGGUACACAACUGAUGGGAGUGAGACUGCGGGCGACAAGGUUCGUAGUCGAGAGGGAAACAGCCCAGACCCGUGGCUAAGGUCCCGAAUGGACGCUAAGUGUGAAAUGAUGUGCCAUGGCGCAGACAGCCAGGAGGUUGGCUUAGAAGCAGCCAUUCCUUAAAAGAGUGCGUAAUAGCUCACUGGUCGAGUCAUGACGCGCAGAUAAUGUAACGGGGCUAAGCGGUAUACCGAAGCUACGGGUUCAUACAGCGAUGUGUGGACGGUAGGGGAGCAUUCCACGGACCAAAGAAGGCAGCCUGGGAAGGGUGCUGGAGGGAGUGGAAGAGAGAAUGCAGGUAUAAGUAUACGAAAAGAGGGGUGGGAUCCCCCUCCGCCGAAAGCCUAAGGAUUCCUGGGUAAAGGUCAUCUGCCCAGGGUAAGUCGGCCCCUAAGGCGAGGACGAAGGUCGUAGUCGAUGGGAAACGGGUUAUUAUUCCCGUACCUUGCUCAGUUUUGAAGGGAUGACGCAUGAGGUAAAGCCCGGCCGGGGGACGGUAGUCCUGGUCGAAGUCGUGAGUUGGGUCGGUGGAAAAUCCCCGUCCGGAAGACGAGCGGUGAAGCGAGUGGAGCUACGGCAAAGCGAAGCGGGUAGAGCCAAGGUGCCAAGAAAUAAUCUCUAAAGGUAGGCUGAGGAAGACCGUACCGGAAACCGACACAGGUAGGCGGGAUGAGCAAUCUAAGGCGCUCGAGAGAACUCGCGUUAAGGAACUCGGCAAAAUACGCACGUAACUUCGGGAGAAGUGCGGCCACUUUUGGUUUAGCGAUAGGUUAAGGGUGGCGACACAAAGCAGUCCCAGGCGACUGUUUACCAAAAACACAGGCCUCUGCGAAUCAGUAAUGAGACGUAUAGGGGCUGACACCUGCCCGGUGCUGGAAGGUUAAGGGGAGUGGUUAAUCGCAAGAUGAAGCUAUGAACCGAAGCCCCAGUAAACGGCGGCCGUAACUAUAACGGUCCUAAGGUAGCGAAAUUCCUUGUCGGGUAAGUUCCGACCCGCACGAAAGGUGUAACGAUCUGGGAGCUGUCUCAACGCGAGACUCGGUKGAAAUUUAUGUACCGGUAAAGAAGCCGGUUACCCGUGGUUAGAACGGAAAGACCCCGUAGAACCUUCACCGUAACUUAUCAUGGGGACUUGGCCAGGCAUGUGUAGGAUAGGUGGGAGGCCGUGAGGCGUGGGCGUCAGCCUGCGCGGAGCCGCCGGUGAAAUACCACCCUUGGCUGGCUAGGUUUCUAACCGUGCCCCUGAAGCGGGGUACGGGACAGUGGUAGGCGGGCGGUUUGACUGGGGCGGUCGCCUCCUAAAGAGUAACGGAGGUGCGCGAAGGUC
rnacentral:rRNA from 1 species